GUUGCUGCCUUCUUUCUCCGACAGAGGGCGCGAGAGCCCUUGGAAUCGCUUCUUCGCCCUAGACUCCGGUGCCGCCGCCUGCGUGUUACCCGCAACGUCGGAAUGGUGCCCCCAGCCGCCGUUUGAAGGAGAACUCUGCGUGUAUGUAUGUGGGAAACAUAUAAAAAAGCUGAAAAUCAAAUGCUGAUCACGAGUGAUUGGCUUGAGCCGAUUGGACCCAAGUUGCAUCUUAGCUGAUGACAGCCCCUUGCUGGCUGUGGCUAGGCUCAGAAAGUCAGCAGGAUUGGGCCCAGUUUGAUGGAAGAAGCUUUGAUGGCACAACCUUGAGGCUGCAAGCUAGAUGGGGAUACUGAAAACACAUCUUGGAAGAAAGCAUUUUGAUGCCAAGAAGUCAGCAAGAGUGGAUUUUCCAAACUUGAACCAUGAGCAGGACGGCAAGUUCCAGCCAACAAUAUUCCUUACCUUUCAAGAAAACAAAUUCAAGUUUAACUGAGUUUUUUAGUUACCCUGGAAAAACUUCUCAGGAAGAGUUGUCUGAUGGUAUCUUUUCUUAAGAAUGGACGUGUGGGAAGCCCAGAAGCUAGAGACCUCUGGGAAAGAAGAUAAAAGAUCAUUUCCUGAAUAAUUUUGAAAUUCAGAGCAAACAUCCCCAUCAGUGUCAGCUGAUUAUCUGGAUGGAAACAGAAGUAAAAUGCAAGACAAAUAUGGAUAGAUCUUGUUAUGGCUAGGGAAAAAAAUAAUCCUGCGAUUCAUAAAUAAAAUGUUUUUGUUUCUA